GAUAACUGGCUUGUGGCAGCCAAGCGCCCAUAGCGACGUUGCUUUUUGAUCCUUCGAUGUCGGGUCUUCCUAUCAUUGCGAAGCAGAAUUCGCCAAGCGUUGGAUUGUUCACCCACCAAUAGGGAACGUGAGCUGGGUUUAGACCGUCGUGAGACAGGUU
rnacentral:ncRNA from 1 species